UGCCCGGCUAGGCUGGGGGGCUGACGUCCCCUGUCCCUUAGGGGUCCACAAAUCGUCUUGGUGGGGCCGAAGCCUGGGGGAAGGGGUACACUGCGCGGGGUGACAUCCUGGAAUCCGGGACGUCGAAGCCCUGCACUGCGGUGGCCUCAUGAGUGCUGAAACAGGCCAGGUCCGGAAGGAAGCAACCUUAGGUGCUUCUUGGGGUGCCCGUAGAACGCGGGGUGGAGUUCCGCUCUGGGGAGAAACCUUGCGAAAGAACUUCGACCCUUGGGUGUGCCGGGCA
rnacentral:SRP_RNA from 1 species